rnacentral:lncRNA from 1 species
AUUAAAAAUUCUCUCUCUAAAAAAAAAAAGAGUAAUGUGAAGCUAGGUUUGGGAAUACUAGAUGAAGAUAGGUCUUUAAGAACAGGAUAUUAUGAAGCCAGGAAAAUGUUCACAAAAAAGCAGAGGACAUCAGUGCUUAGCAGGCUUGGAAGAGACUCUCCGCUGGUUCUCUGGGAUGAUCCCAAACUUAAGUCACUGCUUGGGAGGUUCACAGGGAUAUGAUUUGACAAGGCCCAAAAGAAGGUGUUAUGAAAGGAAAAAACUUUAGGUUUUGAGGCCAACUAGGGUAAUCAUAGCCCCUAGUAAGAAAAAUGAACUGAGAAAUUCAAGAAGGCAAAGGAUUAUCAUUAUUUACUGUGAAACUUCUUCAACUAAGCAGCUUACCUGCCUUACUCUCAGGUCCGGGAUGACCAAACCUAUCCAGUUUGCUUGAGAGUGAAAGGAUUUGGGGAAUGCGGGUUUUCUUCAAAAUUUUUUUUUUUUUUUUAGAAAUAUCUGUGAGCUGCACUACCCAAUUCCUCUACCCUCUAUCCCAACUGCUUCCUGGGGGAGCAGUAGCUCCCCAACUCCUGCUGUCUUGAAUGCAUGGCCUUGUUUGGUAUGUGCACAUGCCCAGCAUGGGGGUUUUCAAUGAUAAAACACACCCUAUACUAAGGACAUACUAAACAAGUCCUAUCGUGAAGUGGAGCUCUCAAUAUUUUAAUCUACUUUCAGUUCAUCUACCUAAUAUCUGAGGAAAGUUUUCACAGGAAAGGAAACUGUUGGGUAAAAAAAAUCAAGGCUGAU